GCGACGACGGGUAGCCGACCUGAGAGGGUGACCGGCCACACUGGGACUGAGACACGGCCCAGACUCCUACGGGAGGCAGCAGUGGGGAAUAUUGCACAAUGGGCGAAAGCCUGAUGCAGCGACGCCGCGUGAGGGAUGACGGCCUUCGGGUUGUAAACCUCUUUCAGCAGGGACGAAGCGCAAGUGACGGUACCUGCAGAAGAAGCACCGGCUAACUACGUGCCAGCAGCCGCGGUAAUACGUAGGGUGCAAGCGUUGUCCGGAAUUACUGGGCGUAAAGAGUUCGUAGGCGGUUUGUCGCGUCGUUUGUGAAAACCAGCAGCUCAACUGCUGGCUUGCAGGCGAUACGGGCAGACUUGAGUACUGCAGGGGAGACUGGAAUUCCUGGUGUAGCGGUGAAAUGCGCAGAUAUCAGGAGGAACACCGGUGGCGAAGGCGGGUCUCUGGGCAGUAACUGACGCUGAGGAACGAAAGCGUGGGUAGCGAACAGGAUUAGAUACCCUGGUAGUCCACGCCGUAAACGGUGGGCGCUAGGUGUGGGUUCCUUCCACGGAAUCCGUGCCGUAGCUAACGCAUUAAGCGCCCCGCCGGGGGAAAUACGGGA
rnacentral:rRNA from 1 species